AAUGAACGCUGGCGGCGUGCUUAACACAUGCAAGUCGCACGAGAACGCUUCAGCUUGCUGAAGUUAGUAAAGUGGCGCACGGGUGAGUAACGCGUGGGUAAUCUCCCCCCGAAUUGGGGAUAACAUCGCGAAAGCGAUGCUAAUACCGGAUAAUAUCUUAAAAACCUCGGUUUUAAAGAUCAAAGGUGGCCUCUACAUGUAAGCUUCUGUUUGGGGAUGAGCCCGCGUACCAUUAGCUUGUUGGUAGGGUAAUGGCCUACCAAGGCUGCGAUGGUUAGCUGGUCUGAGAGGAUGAUCAGCCACACUGGAACUGACACACGGUCCAG
rnacentral:rRNA from 1 species